rnacentral:rRNA from 1 species
AUUGAACGCUGGCGGCAUGCUUUACACAUGCAAGUCGAACGGCAGCGCGGGCUUCGGCCUGGCGGCGAGUGGCGAACGGGUGAGUAAUACACCGGAACGUGCCCAGUAGUGGGGGAUAGCUCGGCGAAAGCCGGAUUAAUACCGCAUACGACCUGAGGGUGAAAGCGGGGGAUCUUCGGACCUCGCGCUAUUGGCGCGGCCGAUGGCAGAUUAGCUAGUUGGUGGGGUAAAGGCCUACCAAGGCGACGAUCUGUAGCUGCUCUGAGAGGACGACCAGCCACACUGGGACUGAGACACGGCCCAGACUCCUACGGGAGGCAGCAGUGGGGAAUUUUGGACAAUGGGCGAAAGCCUGAUCCAGCAAUGCCGCGUGUGUGAUGAAGGCCUUCGGGUUGUAAAGCACUUUUGGCGGGAACGAAAAGGACUGUGCCAAUACCACGGUGCGAUGACGGUACCCGCAGAAUAAGCACCGGCUAACUACGUG